UUGACAACUGAAUGGGAACUUGCCUGCCCUCACAUUUGAUCGAUUUAAAAAAAUAUAUAUAUAUUUUACCUUUAUUUAACCAGGCAAGUUAGUUAAGAACAAAUUCUUAUUUUCAAUGACGGCCUAGGAACAGCGGGUUAACUGCCUGUUCAGGGGCAGAACGACGGAUUUGUACCUUGUCAGCUCGGGGGUUUGAACUUGCAACCUUCCGGUUACUAGUCCAACGCUCUAACCAUUAGGCUACCCUGCCGCCCCUACGCUCUAACCACUAGGCUACCCUGCCGCCUCUACGCUCUAACCACUAGGCUACCCUGCCGCCCCGAUGCCAAAUACAUUUGAUUGACAACUAGGGGUGCGUUCAUAAUUGCCUCCAGUGUGUCAGAAUGCGAUCUGGGUCGUUUGUAAAUUCAGAGCGUUUCGCUGUCUCAGUGUUCUGUUAUGGAAGGUUGAGUCAACUACAACAAUGUCUGUGUUCUGUUAUGGAAGGUUGAGUCAACUACAACAAUGUCUCAGUGUUCUGUUAUGGAAGGUUGUGUCAACUACAACAAUGUCUCAGUGUUCUGUUAUGGAAGGUUGAGUCAACUACAACAAUGUCUCAGUGUUCUGUUAUGGAAGGUUGAGUCAACUACAACAAUGUCUCAGUGUUCUGUUAUGGAAGGUUGAGUCAACUACAACAAUGUCUCAGUGUUCUGUUA